UACGUAGGGUGCAAGCGUUAAUCGGAAUUACUGGGCGUAAAGCGUGCGCAGGCGGCUAUGCAAGACAGAUGUGAAAUCCCCGGGCUCAACCUGGGAACUGCAUUUGUGACUGCAUGGCUAGAGUACGGUAGAGGGGGAUGGAAUUCCGCGUGUAGCAGUGAAAUGCGUAGAUAUGCGGAGGAACACCGAUGGCGAAGGCAAUCCCCUGGACCUGUACGGACGCUCAUGCACGAAAGCGUGGGGAGCAAACAGG
rnacentral:rRNA from 1 species